rnacentral:pre_miRNA from 1 species
CUUAACCGGUUGCCACUAGGUGGUUUUUUCGAUGAAGGUGCCCAGUAAACUGGGUACCCUCCCGAAUUAAAACACUUACUAUUUAUAGUGAUAAAAAAUUUUAU